rnacentral:rRNA from 3 species
UACAGAGGGUGCAAGCGUUAAUCGGAAUUACUGGGCGUAAAGCGCGCGUAGGCGGCUGUCUAAGUCGGGUGUGAAAGCCCCGGGCUCAACCUGGGAACUGCAUUCGAUACUGGACGGCUAGAGUAUGAGAGAGGGAGGUAGAAUUCCACGUGUAGCGGUGAAAUGCGUAGAUAUGUGGAGGAAUACCGGUGGCGAAGGCGGCCUCCUGGUUCAAUACUGACGCUGAGGUGCGAAAGCGUGGGGAGCAAACAGG